UUGGGAUCAUUUUAGGUAUAUGAGAAAUGCAAUUGCGCAUCUUAUAGCCAGCUGCUACUUUGCGGCGGUAUUUCCCGACAUCUCUCAGGUGCAACGGUUUCUGUCCCGUGAGGGAAUACUUGACGAGUUCAUUUGAGUCUAGUCAACUUCAAGGCUUUCAUAGUCAAGUGAGUCAGCUGCUUUCCAAGCUCUCUCUUAGACUGCAAACUCUUGAAUCACAUAAGCUCAAUUUGAAGGUCAUCUUUUAUAAGAUCAUGUCAACAUCUUUUCUCUCCUUUUGCAUAGCUUCUCGAACUAAAGUAAAGGAAAACCGAUGAAAUUAAACUCCAUCUGUGUAUUUCAGGGGAAACCAAAUCCGCAAUGUAAAGUCUUUUUUUUUUUAUUAAAAAAAAAAAAAAAAAAAAAAAAGGGAAAAUCUCAUUGUAAAGUAGUUCAAACAGUGUAUGUUGACUUCAAGGCUUAUAAAUUAUAACCCACAUUCCUCCACCUGCAGAUUCUUAUGGCCCUGCAUAUCAUCAUGAAGAAAGGUCAGUAUUUAUUUAAAUUCUUUUGUUUUUGAUGGUGUAUAUAUUUUGUUUUUGAGAUUGAUAUUUGGAUUGGUAUUUAGACUUGCCACUUGUUCAGCAUGAAAAUAAAAGAAACAGUUGAUGUUUUGGGGAUAGAGUCGUUCUCAAUUUUGCCAUUUUUGUGCUGUACGGUUUAUGUGUAGAUCUUCCUUUCCUCUUCCUCUUUAUUUCCAUUGUAAAUGUGAUUCAAUUUAUUGAUUUUCCUAAUUUGCUUAAUUUUUAUUUUUUUCCCAUGUUUUAUUUUUUAUUUUUUAUUUAAGAUGAAGGAGCAUCGAAAGCCAAUGAAGCCGUGGUGCCACACAGCAGUGAUUUUAGUAGAAGACGAGCAAGUAAUUGUUUUGGGUUUUACAGAUUGUUAAUGCAUGCUACCUCUAGAUAUUCCAUCUUAUGUUACUUAAUAUACAUUAGCUGUUGUUUUUGGGCUGUGGCGAUGGUGGGUGGUGUUUGGGUUCCAAAAUGUUGCUACUUCUAGAGGGAAGAAUUUGUAAGCUUUCAAAUACUCGCUGUUUUAUGGCUGUAUUUUAUUUAUUUAUUUAUUAUUAUAUGUUUCCUUCA